AUAAUCUACUUAUGAGCAUAAAGUGAAUGCCUUGACUCCAAACUCCGAUGAAGGACGCAGCUAGUUGCGAUAAGCUUCGGUGAGCCGCUAAGCAGGCUUUGACCCGAAGGUUUCCGAAUGGGGAAACCCAGUCCCGGUUAUGCGGGCUAAGUUAUACUGAAUACAUAGGUAUAUCUAGGACACUUGGUGAACUGAAACAUCUAAGUAACCAAGGAAAAUAAAUCAAAUAGAGAUUCCCUUAGUAGUGGCGAGCGAAAGGGGAGUAGCCCAAACUUUGUUCCACGGAACAGAGGGUUGUAGGACCUCAAUAUGAUCUUUAUUACUAUUAGACAAACGUCUCUGGAAAGAGCGACCAAAGAGGGUAAUAGUCCCGUAGUCGAAAAUAGUAUAAAGCUCUAGAGUGUUCCUGAGUAGGGUCGGACACGAGAAAUCCGGCUUGAAUCUGGGAGGACCACCUUCCAAGGCUAAAUAGGUUUGGAGAUCGAUAGUGAACAAGUACCGUGAGGGAAAGGUGAAAAGUACCCCGGUUAGGGGGAUGAAAUAGAAUCUGAAACUUUAUGCUUACAACGAAUCGGAGCCUGCGCAAGCGGGUGACGGUGUACUUUUUGUAGAACGGACCAACGAGUUAGCUGUACGGCGCUUGGUUAAAGGAGUAAUACCUGGAGCCAUAGUGAAAGCGAGGGUGAAUAACCCGUAUAUAGUGUCGUGCACUAGACCCGAAACUGAGUGAGCUACUCAUGGCCAGGCUGAAGGUUACCUAGCGGUGACUGGAGGGCCGAACCAACCGUCGUUGUAAAGGCGGUGGAUGAGCUGUGAGUAGGAGUGAAAAGCUAAACGAACUCAGAGAUAGCUGGUUCUCCUCGAUAUAGCUUUAGGGUUAGCCUUGUAAAUUAAGCUAGGGGGGUAGAGCUCUGUUUAGGCUAGGGGACGAAAUAAGUCUACCAAACCUAGAUAAUCUUCGAAUACCCUUGUGAAUUUUACAGGAGUGAGACUAUGACAGCUAAGUGCCAUAGUCGUAAGGGGAACAGCCCAGAUCGUCGUCUAAGGUCCCUAAUAGAGCUUAAGUGGUAAAGGAUGUGAAGUCGCUUAUACACCUAGGAGGUUGGCUUAGAAGCAGCCAUUCCUUUAAAGAGUGCGUAAUAGCUCACUAGUCUAUGCGAUUUCGCGCCGAAAAUAUAGCGGGGCUCAAAGCUUUAACCGAAGACGCGGGUGUCACAGUGCUUCGGCAAUGUGGCGCGGUAGAGGAGCGUUCCUGUCAGCAUCGAAGCUCGAGUGUGAACUUGGGUGGAGCGGCAGGAAGUGAAAAUGUUGGUAUAAGUAGCGUGAUUCGGGUGAAAAACCCGAACGUCGAAAACCCAAGGUUUCCCAAGCCACGUUAAUCGACUUGGGGUUAGUCGGUCCUAAGGCGAGGCCGAAAGGCGUAGUCGAUGGAUAACAGGUUAAUAUUCCUGUACAAUUUAAUUUUCGUCAGAACAAAACAUGCGGGGCUUAUUGUUUGAUCUUCAUAGGAUUUCGGUCCUAAGUUGAAAGAACGAUUUGAACCAAUUGUGGCGUUAGCUCAGGGGAGACGUGGAUGGAUAGCCGGAGCGUGUUAAUGAAUUCACGUGCAAGUUACAAGUUUAUGCUCUUUGAGGUAAAUCCCUUAGAGUUUAUGAGUAACGAUGCAAAAUUCUUCGUCUUUGACGGAGAGAUUCCGGGGGGUUCAUCUGCCAAGAAAAUCCUCGGUAGCGAGAAAAUUAAGUUACCGUACCGCAAACCAACGCUGGUGGGUAGGUCGAGUAGACCAAGACGAUCGAGAUAACUAUUUUUAAGGAACUUUGCAAUACAACAGGUGUAACUUCGGGAUAAACCUUGCCAGUUGUUUUAUUAUGACUGGCCGCAGUAAAAGAUUUCAGGCAACUGUUUAACAAAAACACAGGUCUCUGCAAAGUCGCAAGACAAUGUAUAGGGGCUGACUCCUGCCCAGUGCCAGAAGGUCACGAGGAGAAAUUCACGUUUCGAAUCUAAGCCCUGGUGAACGGCGGCCGUAACUAUAACGGUCCUAAGGUAGCGAAAUUCCUUGUCAGGUAAGUUCUGACCCGCACGAAUGGAGUAAUGAUCUGAAAACUGUCUCAAAAAUAGACUCGGCGAAAUUACAGAGCUGGUAAAAAUGCCAGCUUAUCAUGGAAAGACGAAAAGACCCCGUGAAGCUUUACUAUAGCUUGGCAUUGAUUCUGGGUAUAGCUCGCGCAGGAUAGGUGGGAGACUUUGAAGCCUCGACUUUGGUUGAGGUGGAGUCAUCCUUGAGAUACCACCCCUGCUAUACUUAGGAUCUAACUUUUCCCAUUAAUCUGGGAUUAAAGGACAGUGCUUGGUGGGUAGUUUGACUGGGGCGGUCGCCUCCUAAAGAGUAACGGAGGCGCGCAAUGGUUCCCUAGGUCUGGAUGGAAAUCAGGCUGAUAGUGCAAACGCAUAAGGGAGCUUAACUGCGAGACCUACAAGUCGAGCAGAUGCGAAAGCAGGCGUUAGUGAUCCGAUAGUGGCACGUGGGUGCGCUAUCGCUCAACGGAUAAAAGCUACUCCGGGGAUAACAGGCUUAUUGAUUCCAAGAGUUCACAUCGACGAAUCAGUUUGGCACCUCGAUGUCGGCUCGUCGCAUCCUGGGGCUGGAGAAGGUCCCAAGGGUUUGGCUGUUCGCCAAUUAAAGCGGUACGCGAGCUGGGUUCAGAACGUCGUGAGACAGUUCGGUCUCUAUCUUCCAUGAUCGCAGGAUAUUUGAAGGAUGUUGUCCCUAGUACGAGAGGACCGGGAUGAACGAACCUCUGGUGUAUCUGUUGUCGCGUCAGCGGCAUUGCAGAGUAGCUACGUUCGGAUGGAUAACCGCUGAAAGCAUCUAAGCGGGAAGCUAUUCCUAAGAUUAUAUAUCCCUAUAGCCCCCCUGAAGACUACAGGGUUGAUAGGUCGCAGAUGUACGCACAGUGAUGUGUUGAGUCGAGCGAUACUAAUGGGCGAUUGUGAUUAUUUU
rnacentral:rRNA from 2 species